rnacentral:rRNA from 1 species
UGGCUGUCGUCAGCUCGUGUCGUGAGAUGUUGGGUUAAGUCCGUACGAGCGCAACCCUGUCCUUAGUUACCAGCACGUAUGGUGGGCACUCUAAGGAGACUGCCGGUGGACAAACCGGACGGAAGGUGGGGAGUGACGUCAAGUCAUCAUGGCCCUUACGGCCUGGGCUACACACGUGCUACAAUGGUCGGUACAAAGGGUUGCCAAGCCGCGAGGUGGAGCUAAUCCCAUAAAACCGAUCGUAGUCCGGAUCGCAGUCUGCAACUCGACUGCGUGAAGUCGGAAUCGCUAGUAAUCGUGAAUCAGAAUGUCACGGUGAAUACGUUCCCGGGCCUU